UACGGAGGGGGCUAGCGUUGUUCGGAAUUACUGGGCGUAAAGCGUGCGCAGGCGGUUUUGUAAGUCAGAUGUGAAAUCCCCGGGCUUAACCUGGGAACUGCGUUUGAAACUACAAGGCUAGAGUGUGGCAGAGGGGGGUGGAAUUCCACGUGUAGCAGUGAAAUGCGUAGAGAUGUGGAGGAACACCGAUGGCGAAGGCAGCCCCCUGGGUUAACACUGACGCUCAGGCACGAAAGCGUGGGAGCAAACAGG
rnacentral:rRNA from 1 species